rnacentral:rRNA from 1 species
AACGAACGCUGGCGGCAUGCCUAACACAUGCAAGUCGAACGAGCCCUUCGGGGUGAGUGGCGCACGGGUGCGUAACACGUGGGAACCUGCCCUUAGGUUCGGAAUAACACGGAGAAAUUUGUGCUAAUACCGGAUAAUGUCUUCGGACCAAAGGUUUAUCGCCUUUGGAUGGGGCUGCGUAGGAUUAGCUAGUUGGUGAGGUAAAGGCUCACCAAGGCGACGAUCCUUAGCUGGUCUUAGAGGAUGAUCAGCCACACUGGGACUGAGACACGGCCCAGACUCCUACGGGAGGCAGCAGUGGGGAAUAUUGGACAAUGGGCGAAAGCCUGAUCCAGCAAUGCCGCGUGAGUGAUGAAGGCCUUAGGGUUGUAAAGCUCUUUUACCUGGGAUGAUAAUGACAGUACCAGGAGAAUAAGCCCCGGCUAACUCCGUGCCAGCAGCCGCCGUAACAC